CAACCUUUUCACGGGUAUAAUCAUUUCAGAUUCUAUCUCUAAGGAGCAAUUAAACUUUGCUAAGAUGGAAAGUUCACUCAAAGCCGUGAUAUUGGUAAGAGAAAAGAACUUCAAAUGAGAGACUAAAAGUAUAUUGGUAUAAAAGAAAAUUCAGGUCUAGAAGAAGUAGAGCUUGUGCAAGAGAAAUAAUGACUGAAAACCACAUAAGCCCCAAGAAACCAACCAGGCCUUCAUGGUGGCUGGCGAUAAAGAUGAUGGAACACAGUUUUAAAGAACAAAUAGGGCACUAUUUUCAGUAAUCAAUUACUGCAAUAAGAGCCAAUGAUACUCCUUCAGGCUCCAAUGGAACUGGCUAACAAGCUUCUGCCAUGACUACAACUUCACAAAGUUAAAAAUAGUAAAGUUCCAAACACAAGAUGAUGAGUACUUUCUUCAGAUCACUCUUGUUGGAAUUUGUGAUUGUCGAUCCAUCUAAGAAUCCAUUUUCCACUCAAUAAUGAUUAUGAAAGCAAGAAAAAAAA